rnacentral:rRNA from 1 species
GUGGUUUAGAUACCCUGGUAGUCCACGCCGUAAACGAUGAUCACUCGCUGUUGGCGAUACACAGUCAGCGGCUAAGCAAAAGCAUUAAGUGAUCCACCUGGGGAGUACGGCCGCAAGGCUGAAACUCAAAGGAAUUGACGGGGGCCCGCACAAGCGGAGGAACAUGUGGUUUAAUUCGAUGAUACGCGAGGAACCUUACCUGGGCUUAAAUGUAGAGUGCAUGAGAUGGAAACAUUUCUUUUCUUCGGAACUCUCUGCAAAGUGCUGCACGGUCGUCGUCAACU